GAUGAACGCUGGCGGCGUGCUUAACGCAUGCAAGUCGAACGAAGCACUUUAUUUGAUUUCCUUCGGGACUGAUUAUUUUGUGACUGAGUGGCGGACGGGUGAGUAACGCGUGGGUAACCUGCCUUGUACAGGGGGAUAACAGUUGGAAACGGCUGCUAAUACCGCAUAAGCGCACGGCAUCGCAUGAUGCAGUGUGAAAAACUCCGGUGGUAUAAGAUGGACCCGCGUUGGAUUAGCUAGUUGGUGAGGUAACGGCCCACCAAGGCGACGAUCCAUAGCCGAACUGAGAGGGUGACCGGCCACAUUGGGACUGAGACACGGCCCAAACUCCUACGGGAGGCAGCAGUGGGGAAUAUUGCACAAUGGGCGAAAGCCUGAUGCAGCGACGCCGCGUGAGCGAAGAAGUAUUUCGGUAUGUAAAGCUCUAUCAGCAGGGAAGAUAAUGACGGUACCUGACUAAGAAGCACCGGCUAAAUACGUG
rnacentral:rRNA from 1 species